rnacentral:rRNA from 1 species
AUUGAACGCUGGCGGCAGGCUUAACACAUGCAAGUCGAGCGGGGGAAGGUAGCUUGCUACCGGACCUAGCGGCGGACGGGUGAGUAAUGCUUAGGAAUCUGCCUAUUAGUGGGGGACAACAUCUCGAAAGGGAUGCUAAUACCGCAUACGUCCUACGAGAGAAAGCAGGGGAUCUUCGGACCUUGCGCUAAUAGAUGAGCCUAAGUCGGAUUAGCUAGUUGGUGGGGUAAAGGCCUACCAAGGCGACGAUCUGUAGCGGGUCUGAGAGGAUGAUCCGCCACACUGGGACUGAGACGCGGCCCAGACUCCUACGGGAGGCAGCAGUGGGGAAUAUUGGACAAUGGGGGGAACCCUGAUCCAGCCAUGCCGCGUGUGUGAAGAAGGCCUUAUGGUUGUAAAGCACUUUAAGCGAGGAGGAGGCUACUUUAGUUAAUACCUAGAGAUAGUGGACGUUACUCGCAGAAUAAGCACCGGCUAACUCUGUGCCAGCCGCCGCAGUAA